UGUUCGAGCGUCAUUAUAACCACUCAAGCCUGGCUUGGUAUUGGGGUACGCGGUCCCGCGGCCCCUAAAAUCAGUGGCGGUGCCGGUUGGCUCUAAGCGUAGUAAUACUCCUCGCUAUAGACCCCUCCCGGUUCCCUGCCACGAACCCCCAUUUUUUACAGGUUGACCUCGGAUCAGGUAGGGAUACCCGCUGAACUUAA
rnacentral:misc_RNA from 1 species